rnacentral:rRNA from 1 species
AGGCAGGAUUACCCGCUGAACUUAAGCAUAUCAAUAAGCGGAGGAAAAGAAACUAACAAGGAUUCCCCUAGUAACGGCGAGUGAAGCGGGAAGAGCUCAAAUUUGUAAUCUGGCACUUUCAGUGUCCGAGUUGUAAUCUCGAGAAGUAUUUUCCGCGCCGGACUGCAUACAAGUCUGUUGGAAUACAGCGUCAUAGUGGUGAGAACCCCGUAACUGAUGCAGAUGCCCGGUGCUUUGUGAUAUACUUUCGAAGAGUCGAGUUGUUUGGGAAUGCAGCUCAAAUUGGGUGGUAAAUUCCAUCUAAAGCUAAAUAUUGGCGAGAGACCGAUAGCGAACAAGUACCGUGAGGGAAAGAUGAAAAGCACUUUGGAAAGAGAGUUAACAGUACGUGAAAUUGUUGGAAGGGAAACGCUUGAAGUCAGACUUGCUAUUUGGAAUUCAGCCGCAAGGUGUACUUUUCAAUUCGCAGGCCAGCAUCAGUUUUUGGGGGUGGAAAAGGGUAGAGAGAAGGUAGCAGUUUCGGCUGUGUUAUAGCUCUUUGCUGGAUUCAUCCU